GAGGAAUAUUGGUCAAUGGGCGAGAGCCUGAACCAGCCAAGUAGCGUGCAGGAUGACGGCCCUAUGGGUUGUAAACUGCUUUUAUAUAGGGAUAAAGUGACCUACGUGUGGGUGUUUGUAGGUAUUAUAUGAAUAAGGACCGGCUAAUUCC
rnacentral:rRNA from 1 species